rnacentral:lncRNA from 1 species
UCAUCGUUCCCAACAUGUAUUGAUUAUAAAUCAGAUUGGGCAAAUAUGUUGGAAUGAAAAUUCCAAAAACUGUAUGGGACUAGGGUCAAGCAGAAGUUGUACCUUUUUUCAAGCAGAUGAUUGAAUUUAGGGACUAUGGAAUACGGAUCAUCAAAGCAGAACAUAUAUCCAUUCAUGGGACUAGGGUCAUUAAGUUCAUCCAAAUUUUA